UGGAGCUGACGUGGGCCAGGUGGGGCGCAAGUGUCAGCAUGGCAACAUGUAAACGGCAGAGUGGGCGAGGACGAGCAGCAGAGGCGCCACAGGGAACCUCGGAGGGGCGAAGCCACGUGCCGAUGAGCAGUCCGAGAAGGUGCUGUGUGGCCACAUUUGGGACUGGAUGCCCAUUUGAGGUG